rnacentral:rRNA from 1 species
GACGAACGCUGGCGGCGUGCCUAAUACAUGCAAGUUGAGCGCUGAAGGUUGGUACUUGUACCAACUGGAUGAGCAGCGAACGGGUGAGUAACGCGUGGGGAAUCUGCCUUUGAGCGGGGGACAACAUUUGGAAACGAAUGCUAAUACCGCAUAAAAACUUUAAACACAAGUUUUAAGUUUGAAAGAUGCAAUUGCAUCACUCAAAGAUGAUCCCGCGUUGUAUUAGCUAGUUGGUGAGGUAAAGGCUCACCAAGGCGAUGAUACAUAGCCGACCUGAGAGGGUGAUCGGCCACAUUGGGACUGAGACACGGCCCAAACUCCUACGGGAGGCAGCAGUAGGGAAUCCUCGGCAAUGGACGAAAGUCUGACCGAGCAACGCCGCGUGAGUGAAGAAGGUUUUCGGAUCGUAAAACUCUGUUGGUAGAGAAGAACGUUGGUGAGAGUGGAAAGCUCAUCAAGUGACGGUAACUACCCAGAAAGGGACGGCGAACUACGU